UGGGGGAUAUUGCACAAUGGGGGAAACCCUGAUGCAGCAAUGCCGCGUGAGGGAAGAAGGUCUUCGGAUUGUAAACCUAAGUAGCCAGGGACGAUAAUGACGGUACCUGGAGAGUAAGCUCCGGCUAACUACGUGCCAGCAGCCGCGGUAAUACGUAGGGAGCGAGCGUUGUCCGGAUUUACUGGGUGUAAAGGGUGCGUAGGCGGGAUGGCAAGUCAGAUGUGAAAUACCGGGGCUUAACCCCGGGGCUGCAUUUGAAACUGUCGUUCUUGAGUGAAGUAGAGGCAGGCGGAAUUCCUAGUGUAGCGGUGAAAUGCGUAGAUAUUAGGAGGAACACCAGUGGCGAAGGCGGCCUGCUGGGCUUUAACUGACGCUGAGGCACGAAAGCAUGGGGAGCAAACA
rnacentral:rRNA from 1 species